AGAGUUUGAUCCUGGCUCAGAACGAACGCUGGCGGCGUGCUUAACACAUGCAAGUCGAACGCGAAAGGGACUUCGGUCCUGAGUAGAGUGGCGCACGGGUGAGUAACGCGUAGAUAACCUGUCCUUGUGUCUGGAAUAAUACGUCGAAAGGUGUACUAAUACCGGAUAUUCUUGCUUUUCAUAAGUUUAGCAAGCAAAGGUGGCCUCUGACAUAAGCUACUGCAUAAGGAGGGGUCUGCGUACCAUUAGCUAGUAGGUGGGGUAAUGGCCUACCUAGGCUACGAUGGUUAACGGGUCUGAGAGGAUGAUCCGUCACACUGGCACUGGAACACGGGCCAGACUCCUACGGGAGGCAGCAGUGAGGAAUAUUGCGCAAUGGGGGCAACCCUGACGCAGCGACGCCGCGUGAGUGAGGAAGGCCUUCGGGUCGUAAAGCUCUGUCAAAGGGAAAGAAGUGCAUAGUGGUUAAUACCUGCUAUGUUUGACGGUACCCUUAAAGGAAGCACCGGCUAACUCCGUGCCAGCAGCCGCGGUAAUACGGAGGGUGCAAGCGUUGUUCGGAAUUACUGGGCGUAAAGGGCGCGUAGGCGGUUUGAUAAGUCAGAUGUGAAAGCCCACGGCUUAACCGUGGAAGUGCAUUUGAUACUGUCAGACUUGAGUACCAGAGGGGAAAGUGGAAUUCCCGGUGUAGAGGUGAAAUUCGUAGAUAUCGGGAGGAAUACCGGUGGCGAAGGCGACUUUCUGGCUGGAUACUGACGCUGAGGCGCGAAAGCGUGGGGAGCAAACAGGAUUAGAUACCCUGGUAGUCCACGCUGUAAACGAUGUCAACUAGAUGUAGGGGGUGUUGAUCCCUUCUGUGUCGCAGCUAACGCAUUAAGUUGACCGCCUGGGGAGUACGGUCGCAAGAUUAAAACUCAAAGGAAUUGACGGGGGCCCGCACAAGCGGUGGAGUAUGUGGUUUAAUUCGA
rnacentral:rRNA from 1 species